rnacentral:rRNA from 1 species
UACGUAGGGUGCGAGCGUUGUCCGGAAUUAUUGGGCGUAAAGAGCUCGUAGGCGGUCUGUCGCGUCGAUCGUGAAAACUUGGGGCUUAACCCUGAGCUUGCGGUCGAUACGGGCAUGACUGGAGUUCGGCAGGGGAGACUGGAAUUCCUGGUGUAGCGGUGAAAUGCGUAGAUAUCUGGAGGAACACCGGUGGCGAAGGCGGCAUCCUGGACCGGCAUUGACGCUGAGGCGCGAAAGCCAGGGGAGCAAACGGG